GUAAGAUUGUGCUCCUCAAAGAAAACUCAUACAGGCUUCAGAGUAAUUAAUGGCAGGAUGGACGCAGCGAGGUCAUAGAAAGUAAUAUAAAAUAUUCUUAGUAAGUAUAGUAAUUGCAUAGAUGGAGAAUCAAGUGUAGUAUUCGAAGAUCUUAAUUAUAGAGUUGUGAAGUCCUAAUAGGUGGUAUAAUGAGGCGAACAAGCUCUAAAACGAACUAAUUGUGUCUUAAUGACAUCUUUAAUGUGGAAAUGAAACAAUGGCGUCUGCUCCAGAGAGAAGCUGACUUCAUCUGUGGCUGUCAUUGGCAGACUGGACUCUUCUUCAUCAGGAGGGAGGAGAUUUUCUCCGGCACAUGCUAUGAAACGCAGAAGAGAUGUUUUCCAGAAGAACCCAUUCGGUGAGCUCAGAAAAACAGCAGUCCGGAGCUGUUAUUUCCCAGCCGUCCCAGUUCUCCCUGGAGGAUGGAUGCAAUUUCCACACAGAAAACAACAUUUGGAUCUGCUGGAAGUGGAACAAAGCUCCAUAGAGAGCAUCAACAUGGUGCAUAAGUUCAUGAAUUUAAACAAUCCAGUAUAAAUGCUUGGUUUGACCUUUACGGUGCAGAAGAGUGACCCACAAACCCCAGCAGUGUCCUGGAUCAUGAGCUCCAAUUAAUCAAUGGUGUGUUUGUUUGUUUUGUUUUUUUCAUAUCAUAUUUAUUAGUUCAAGU
ensembl:lncRNA